UACGUGGGGGGCUAGCGUUGUCCGGAAUCAUUGGGCGUAAAGAGCGUGUAGGCGGCCCGGUAAGUCCGCUGUGAAAGUCGGGGGCUCAACCCUCGAAUGCCGGUGGAUACUGUCGGGCUAGAGUGCGGAAGAGGCGAGUGGAAUUCCUGGUGUAGCGGUGAAAUGCGCAGAUAUCAGGAGGAACACCAAUUGCGAAGGCAGCUCGCUGGGACGUAACUGACGCUGAGACGCGAAAGCGUGGGGAGCAAACAGG
rnacentral:rRNA from 1 species